rnacentral:snRNA from 1 species
CAGUGUGAGGGCACUCUGGCUGUGACCUCUGUCACCCUUUUGAUUGUUAGGGUUGAUCUGGCUGAUUUAGUUGGCUGGGUGCCACCUCCUCCCUCCCUCCCUAUUCCACAUGUGUCUCCUGAAGAUGUGUGAUCUGUGGAAAAGGAUGAGCAGUUACUUAUUUCAUUUCAUUUUAUUAGUUUGUUGUCAUCACAGACCCAUAUUUAAAAGGAAAAUGAGGACGAAAAAAACCUGCUGAAACCCAGGGAGAAAGUCCUAUAUACGUUAUCCAAAAAGGGUGCUAUUGGGCUGUAUGU